GGGAAUUUUGGACAAUGGGGGCAAGCCUGAUCCAGCCAUGCCGCGUGUGUGAAGAAGGCCUUCGGGUUGUAAAGCACUUUUGUCCGGNAAGAAANCCNGCUGGUUAAUACCUGGCUGGUGAUGACGGUACCGNNAGAAUAAGCACCGGCUAACUNCGUGCCAGCAGCCGCGGUAAUACGUAGGGUGCAAGCGUUAAUCGGAAUUACUGGGCGUAAAGCGUGCGCAGGCGGUUUUUUAAGUCAGGUGUGAAAUCCCCGGGCUNAACCUGGGAACUGCAUUUGAAACUGCCAGGCUAGAGUGNGNNAGAGGGGGGUGGAAUUCCNCGUGUAGCAGUGAAAUGCGUAGAGAUGUGGAGGAANACCNAUGGCGAAGGCAGCCCCCUGG
rnacentral:rRNA from 1 species